GACAACAUGGCGGCGCCUCGGUAGGCAUGGCGCCCGCGCGGUCACGUGAGGAAAGAGGUAGUGUCACGUGCUGCUGUCGGAGUCACGUGCGCAGCCGCCGGUGGUCUCCACGCGCGCGGUCGGGUCCGUGCGUGGAGCAGAGCGGAGCAGAACGGGACGCCGCUAUGGGAACGCGCUCGCCGCAGCUGCUCCUCUUCGUCCUCUCGCUUCUGCUGCCGGUCCGCGGCGCGCCCGCCGCCCAGCCGGCCGGGCCGGGCCUGGAGGAGCGGCUCUUCCCGCAGGUGCGGGACCACUUCCGCUUCGAGGCCGGCGGCAACGAGACCUUCCCGCAGCGGUACCUGCUCUCAGCAAAGUUCUGGAAGAAAGGAUUUGGACCGAUCUUUUUCUAUACUGGUAAUGAAGGCAACAUCUGGACUUUUGCUGAGAACUCGGACUUCAUAUUUGAGUUAGCAGAGCAGCAGCAAGCUCUUGUGAUUUUUGCUGAGCAUAGAUACUAUGGGAAAUCUCUUCCGUUUGGACUUGAGUCAACGCAGCUAAAGAAUACUCAUCUGCUCACUGUGGAACAAGCCCUUGCUGACUAUGCAGUGCUAAUUACUGAGCUUAAGCAGCAGUAUGGAGCUGCAGGCUGCCCUGUCAUUGCUUUCGGAGGCAGCUACGGAGGAAUGCUGAGUGCCUACAUGAGGAUGAAAUACCCAAACGUUGUGGAUGGGGCAUUGGCUGCCAGCGCUCCUGUGCUGUCUGUGGCUGGGCUUGGAGAUCCCACUCAGUUCUUCAGAGAUGUAACAGCAGAUUUUCAGAAGUCCAUCCCAGGCUGUGUCCCUGCUGUCCAAAGAGCCUUCCAGCAGAUCAGGGAUCUGUUCCUGAGCGGAGCUUAUGAUGAAAUCAGCAGCAAAAUGGCCACGUGCAGCAAGAUUUCUAGCAAGGAGGAUCUUUACCAGCUUUUUGGGUUUGCUAGAAAUGCCUUCACCAUGAUUGCCAUGAUGGACUACCCUUACAAGACCGAUUUUAUGGGGCACCUCCCUGCUAAUCCAGUGAAGGUUGGCUGUGAACAAAUCCUUGCCCACACAGACCCUAUUCAAGGCCUGGCAGCUCUUGUUGGCGUGUUCUACAACUCCUCUGGCUCAGCGCAGUGCUAUGAUGUGUACCGACUGUACCGGCCCUGCGCCGACCCCACGGGCUGCGGCACCGGCGCGGAUGCUGAGGCCUGGGACUACCAGGUGUGUACCGAGAUCAACUUAACUUUCAACAGCAACAACGUGACAGACAUGUUCCCUGAGAUGCCCUUCACAGAGGCCAUGAGAGAGCAGUACUGUUGGAGCCGAUGGCGCGUGAGGCCGCGAGCGCAGUGGCUGCGGAUCAACUUCUGGGGAGGAGACCUGAAAAGUGCAAGCAACAUCAUCUUUUCAAAUGGAGACUUGGACCCGUGGGCUGGAGGUGGGAUAAACAGCAGCCUGAGUCCUUCACUGACUGCUGUGACCAUCCAGGGAGGUGCUCAUCACCUGGAUCUGCGGUGACCAACUGCACAAGUCACAGAAUGACAGAACUGUAGGGGUUGGAAGGCUCCUCUGAGGAUCCCUGUCUGCUCCUAAAGCAGGUUCCUUCGAGCAGGCUGCACAGGAAGACAUCAAAGCAGCUGAACAGCCCCGGGGCUCUCAGCCUUUCCCCAUCAGGAGGUGCUCCAGGCCCCCACCAUCUCUGCACCCUGCGCUGGGCUCUGUGCAGCAGUUUGGUCUGCCUGGAGCUGGGGACAGUGCCAGCACUGGGCACAGUGCUCCAGUCCUCACAUGUUCAGCCCCAUUCACUGCUGUGGGUUUUGGUGUUAUCUUUUUCUGUUGUUUCUUAAGAGACACAAGAAAAUGAAAAGACACAAGAUCUGCUUGGUGAGCAGUUGAUUUGUCCCGCUGUCCCUCAGGAGCCACACAUUUACACUUGAGACAGCUUCAGCUCUUUAAAAUAAAUAACAAGUUUAUUUAA